GCAGAGCUGUGGAGGGAGCAGUGUGCUGCAUGAUCACAUCACUUGCAGUUGACACAUGCUUCUUCAAAGUGGCUGUAUGCACAGCAGCAUAAUGAGAACAGUUUAAGCUCAGAGAAUAUACAACACUGUGUACAGUCUGUGACAAGAGUUCUAUCAUGAAAUUGAAUCAGAAUGGCAUUUAUGUACAAUGAAUGAUGAGACAACACUUGAUCAGCUCUGAUACAUGUACAGAUGUAUGAUAUAUCAAAGUCAGAGACAGCAAGCAGAGCAUGGAAUUGAGAACUAUGACAAAAUAUACUCAGCUGAGAAUUGCUGACAUAUAUUGUGUCAUACUCUGAUCAUUUCUGCCACUCAUCUUGAUGUUCAGCAGCUGAAUGAUAUGAGUCAAUCAACUCAGUCUGAGUCAGAUUGUGCUGAAUGAUGACAGAAUUGUAUGAAACAAGAGCUCUUGCAUUAUAAUCAGUUUUCUAUACUGUACAGUAGAGAAGCAGAGAAGUACUCACAUUUAUUCACUGUGUAUGAAAAGAGAAGAGAAGUGACACUGUGAGAGAGACUGUGAAAGAGAGCUGAUCUUCUUUUUUGUGAAAAAAAAAAUCAAAAAUCUGUUCUCUGAUUAUAUACACAAGUCUCUGUCAGUGUUCUUCUUCUUUGGUAUGAUGAAAUGAACAUUCCAUGCAGUGUAUGGAGUGGAAAAACAACAAGAGUAUGAUAGAUUCUGAUGCAAAAGAGGUUGUAUGUACUGUGGAUGAUGAUGAUGAAGCUGAAGAGAGGAAGAGAAAAGAAGUUGAGAAGAGAGACAGAGAAAGAGAGAAUUUUAUAAUUAAUUUAUUGUUGUUAUUAUUGUGAAUGAAAAAGAAAAGUGAGAAUGUCUUGUGUAUGAAAGA
rnacentral:sRNA from 1 species